GGCCGUACCGCUCCGAUAGCUCAGUGGUAGAGCGUUCGCUUUGUGUGCGGAAGGUCGCGGGUUCAAAUCCCGGUCGCGUCA